GUACUCGCUUCGGCAGCACAUAUACUGAAUGAAACUGGAACGCUACAGAGAAGAUUAGCAUGGCCUCCUCACAAGGAUGACAUGCACACCUGUGAAGCAUUCCUAUUUUAA
ensembl:snRNA U6 U6 spliceosomal RNA